rnacentral:misc_RNA from 1 species
AUUUGUUUAAAAAAAUAAACAUAAAAAAAUAAUCAGCAAUACUAAUUUUAUUUCAUAAGUGUUUUUGGACAGCAAAAGUUUUCACUUAAAAUCCGUCAAUAAAUAAUAUUAUAAAUAAAACAAUAGAUAUAUACAUAUGUAUAUAUUACAUAUAAUAUUUUUUCAGCGGUAAUGCUAAUAAAUAUCAGAUAAAAUAUUUAAAUAUAAAUAUACAAUACAGUGAAGCCCGAACUUAUACUUUAUAUACGUUGGCCUAGUGCUCCAAAUAAAUAAACAGAAUACGCGGACGGUUCAACUUGUGUUAAAGAUGACAGUGCAGUUUUAAAAGUUAUUAUUUAGAACCGCAAAAACUAAAAAAAAAAUAUUUUUCAAAAAAAAAAUUUUGUUCAGCAUAAAGCUAGUGCGCCCACUUGCUAUAGUCAAUAACAAUACAAGUUAAGAGAAGUUAAUUACCGAGGUGCAACAUUACAACCGCCAAAAUUCUUACCACUUGCAAUAUGAAUUCCUACUUUGAACAAGCUUCGGCGGGCUUCUACGGCCACCCGCAUCAAACAAGCGGCAUGUCAAUGGGCACUGGUGGUCACCACGAUCAGACAGCGACAGCGGCUGCAGCGGCCUACCGAGGAUUCCCGCUUUCUUUGGGCAUGUCACCCUAUGCCAAUCACCACUUACAACGCACCACACAGGACUCGCCCUACGAUGCAAGUAUAACAGCAGCUUGUAAUAAAAUUUACAGUGACGGUCCAUACAAACAAGAUUGUCUGAAUAUCAAGGCAGAUUCUGUGGUCAAUGGCUACAAAGAUAUUUGGAAUACCAGCGCGAAUGGCACGGGCGGCGGUGGUGGUUCCGGUGGUGGUGGUGGAUCUGGAGGCGGUUCGAAUGGAUCAAACACUAAUGGACAGAACAAUCCCACGGGUGGCAUGCCAGUGCGACCAUCAGCAUGUACCCCCGACUCGCGUGUUGGUGGGUACUUGGACACUUCUGGUGGUAGUCCCGUAAGCCAUCGGGGUGGUAGUGGUGGCGGGAGUGGCGGAGCUGGUGGUGGAGUCGUUGGUGGUGGUGUUCAAGGUGGUGGCGGUGGAGUCGGAGGCGUUGGUGGUGUUGGUGUUGGCGGUGGAGUGUCCGGCGUUGGCGGUGCAGGUACCGCCUGGAAUGCGAAUUGCACAAUAUCGGGCGCUGCAGCGGCUCAGAGUGCUAGCAGCUUGCAUCAAGCCACCAAUCACACAUUCUAUCCAUGGAUGGCUAUAGCAGGUAAGAUAAGAUCAGAUUUAACACAAUAUGGCGGAAUUUCAACUGAAAUGGGUAAGAGAUACUCAGAAUCUCUUGCGGGCUCGCUUCUUCCAGAUUGGCUAGGUAAGUCAACAUGAAUCCUUUCUUACGCUGUCCACGAUAUUGAUGAAGAGAAAAAACGAAAGAAUGAGGUAUUUGUGCAAGAAAACAGAACUUGAACAAAUGGCCUCCGAAGACGUGGUCGGCAAACGUAUACCCGCUAUCAGACGC